rnacentral:misc_RNA from 1 species
UUCCCUGCUGACAUGAG